rnacentral:rRNA from 1 species
UACGUAGGGUGCAAGCGUUGUCCGGAUUAUUGGGCGUAAAGAGCUCGUAGGCGGUUUGUCGCGUCUGCUGUGAAAACCCGAGGCUCAACCUCGGGCCUGCAGUGGGUACGGGCAGACUAGAGUGCGGUAGGGGAGAUUGGAAUUCCUGGUGUAGCGGUGGAAUGCGCAGAUAUCAGGAGGAACACCAAUGGCGAAGGCAGAUCUCUGGGCCGUAACUGACGCUGAGGAGCGAAAGCAUGGGGAGCGAACAGG